rnacentral:rRNA from 1 species
GAUGAACGCUAGCUACAGGCUUAACACAUGCAAGUCGAGGGGCAGCACGGUGUAGCAAUACACGGGUGGCGACCGGCGCACGGGUGCGUAACGCGUAUCCAACUUUCCCGUUACUCUCGGAUAGCCUUCCGAAAGGGAGAUUAAUACGAGAUGGUGUUCAGUUUCCGCAUGUUUACUGAACUAAAGAUUCAUCGGUAACGGAUAGGGAUGCGUGACAUUAGAUAGUUGGCGGGGUAACGGCCCACCAAGUCUACGAUGUCUAGGGGUUCUGAGAGGAAGGUCCCCCACACUGGAACUGAGACACGGUCCAGACUCCUACGGGAGGCAGCAGUGAGGAAUAUUGGUCAAUGGUCGGAAGACUGAACCAGCCAAGUAGCGUGAAGGAUGAAGGUUCUAUGGAUUGUAAACUUCUUUUAUACGGGAGUAAAACCACCUACGUGUAGGUGCUUGUAUGUACCGUAUGAAUAAGCAUCGGCUAACUCCGUG